UACGUAGGGUGCGAGCGUUGUCCGGAAUUAUUGGGCGUAAAGAGCUUGUAGGCGGUUUGUCGCGUCUGCUGUGAAAAUCCGGGGCUCAACCCCGGACUUGCAGUGGGUACGGGCAGACUGGAGUGUGGUAGGGGAGACUGGAAUUCCUGGUGUAGCGGUGGAAUGCGCAGAUAUCAGGAGGAACACCGGUGGCGAAGGCGGGUCUCUGGGCCGAUAUCGACGCUGAGGAGCGAAAGCGUGGGGAGCGAACAGG
rnacentral:rRNA from 1 species